UACAGAGGGGGCAAGCGUUGUUCGGAAUUACUGGGCGUAAAGGGCGCGUAGGCGGCCUUCUAAGUCGAACGUGAAAUCCCCGGGCUCAACCCGGGAACUGCGUCCGAUACUGGAAGGCUUGAAUCCGGGAGAGGGAUGCGGAAUUCCAGGUGUAGCGGUGAAAUGCGUAGAUAUCUGGAGGAACACCGGUGGCGAAGGCGGCAUCCUGGACCAACACUGACGCUGAUGAGCGAAAGCCAGGGGAGCAACGGGAUUAAGA
rnacentral:rRNA from 1 species